CCCACAUGGCCAAACUACAGUAAGUUGCAGCAAUUGUCACAUAAUGGAGCUUUGGAUGCUCACAACAGGCCAUCGAGUGAGAAGAAGAAUAUUUAUAUGGAACCUCAGGGAUCAAAGAAAAAGAAUGAAGCUUUUCAGUCACUUAUCUUUACCCGACGAGGAUUGGAUAUUUUUUGAGAGCUGCAUCGAUUUGGGCGGUAAAAUCCAAAUGCAUCAACGACAGUUCCUGUCUGGUUGACCCUUCCACCUUCAGAAAAUCAUCAUGGAAGACAGCAGAAAGACAAAAACUGAUGUACACAAUCAUGUCAGUUGUUAAGAGGCAAUUUCUCUCUAUUUGGAUUCUCCAGUCAGGCCUUUUCCUAGAAUAAACAGUAAUGACUAGAAAAAAACAGUAAACGACGAGUUAAAAUGAGUAUAAUUCAAUUGACAUACAAGUGUUUUGGUAACUACAUUUAAUUACAUAGUUUGUGGUAGGAAUCUUCUCCUCCAAAUUGUACUAAAAAAGAAUUGUAGUGAAUGACCAAGAGAGAUCACCUAGAUUCUCUUCCCAUUUGAUGUUAAAUGAAAUAGCACUGUUAGACCUAUAUAUAUUUUACACAAUUUUCUUCGUUAGCUUA